AGGGGCCAAGCGCAAGGGGAAGUCGAAGUUGAUUUUGAAGCAAUUGGACGAGUUCGGCAUAAGAAUUUGGUGAACAAGAUCAUGCACGCAUCACGUGCAUUGGACUUAUUAGUUUAUUAUGUAUUGGAUGGAUAAUUUUAUAUGUAGGAGAGAGACAUGAUAUGUAUCAAACAACAUAUGUAUUUGAUAUUUUUAUAUUGUGACAUGGGAUGCAUAUAUGAUUAAAAGUUGUUUUGCGGAUGGUU